UUGGGGAUUAGCCAAGUCGGUAAGGCACAUGACUUUGAACCAUGGGGCCGGGGGUUCGAGUCCCUUCACCUCGACC
rnacentral:tRNA from 1 species